rnacentral:rRNA from 1 species
GACGGGGGGGGCAAGUGUUCUUCGGAAUGACUGGGCGUAAAGGGCACGUUAGGCGUGAAUCGGGUUGAAAGUGAAAGUCGCCAAAAAGUGGCGGAAUGCUCUCGAAACCAAUUCACUUGAGUGAGACAGAGGAGAGUGGAAUUUCGUGUGUAAGGGUGAAAUCCGUAGAUCUACGAAGGAACGCCAAAAGCGAAGGCAGCUCUCUGGGUCCCUACCGACGCUGGGUGCGAAAGCAUGGGGAGCGAACAGG